UUUUUGGGGUACUCUCCCUCUGCCAUGGUGCUCCUGUUCCUAGAUACACUGAACUGAUUAAUUCGGUUCGGGAGAAGAGAUAAAAGCCCGCCCACACUGAAAAUUGAUUGGUUGACUUACCGAAACAGGCCAAUCAGGAUGCUUCAUGAGGCACACACUCACACUGCCACACACACGCACAGUCUCUAGGUCCCUCUCCCUCUCUGUCGUGCGCGCGCUACACAGAUGCUUACGCGGUUUGUAGCACGUCUGUCUCAAGUGCGCGGUCUUGCUCGCUCGCUAUAGAUUCCGGGAGAUUUUAAGUAAUUUGCGGGCAUCAGGGAGUUGCUAUCAAUAUGCGGGAGACUUCCGGGAGACUUGGGAUGUCUGCCGUUGCCGACUCUACAAUUCAGUUCGGCAAAGUAAAGUAAAUAGGGAGAGUCUCCGUUGAAGCUUCCAACGCUACGUGCCAAAAGCGAAAAAAGCAAAACCGAAACCGAAUUCCCAGCACAGAUUCCGUACUCGGCUCUAGUCUUCUUGUUGGAUGGGUAGACCCUAUUCCGUUAGUGAGCUACUUUUUUUUUAAGUAGCUACAGGAAGGCAGUCUACUUUUCGUCUUUUGAGACUUGGUAAAUCUGCCUUUUGUCCUUGAUCAUUGUCUCCGAAAUCAAUAAUGGGGAGCACAAUCACCCAUGUGGCCAACGCCUCGGGGAUGCCCAUCCGGGUUUACUACAGCGUGGAUCAAAUGCGGCUGGAGGAGCUGGUGAUGGAAGUUAAUGUCAGAGGGGAAGCCACUGGGAUUAGAGAAGCGAGCCAAUCAACAAAGAUGAUUUUCAAAGCCGACUCCCGUGUCCGCUUCAUACUUAUUCCGGCAAAAGAGUUCGGCAAAAUUAUAGAAAGAGGGCCACUUUACGUCACCGUCUUUUUGGAGAGCAACGACUCCAGUAAUGAAUGCCUGAAGUCCAUCGCGGAGAAUUUCUGCAUCCCCAAUAACAGGUCCUUUAUUGUGACGAAAAAAGGCCACAUAAAGUGGCAGAAAUAUGGGGAAAACAUUUGGGAAGAUGAGCAAGGCAACAGACACUAGCUAUUAUCUAGCUGUUGCUAUUAAGUAGAGCAACGUUGAGUAUUCAAUAAGGAUAGGAAUCAGAUAAUAUGAAUGUUUUUAAAUUUACAGUUUUUCUCCCUGCCACUGAGAAGUACUUCACAUUAUUAUUUUUUUAAUUAACGGGUUCAAUAAAUGACCAAUAGGUGGCGGUGGUGCACUUUGCACAGUUGUCUCUUCAUACUCAAUGAAUAAACGUCAAAGAUACAGUCCCCAAA